rnacentral:lncRNA from 1 species
GCCAGUUUAAACCUGGAAAGUACUGUGGGGCUGACUGAGAAUUGCUCUAGGAGGAGGGAAUGAGGAUUUUACUGUGAGACCGUAACAGAGCACAGUCUUCCUCUAGCCCACCUACCGUACGUGAAUGCAGCCAGAGAGCAGCAAAGGAAGGCUAGCUUCAGGCACCAAGCCCCCAGGCCUGCUCUGCCAGAUUCGCUGCCCAGAGACUUCAGCCUGAACAUCGGUGGCCCCAGGGAAAAAAACUGUGUCAUCUCCCAUCUGUUCAUCGUCACUCCGUCAUGGUCUGGCAGUUACUGGUUCAUAUGCAAGUAAAGAUGACCAUUCACUC